CCCGCUGAACUUAAGCAUAUCAAUAAGCGGAGGAAAAGAAACUAACAGGGAUUCCCCUAGUAACUGCGAGUGAAGCGGGAGGAGCUCAAAUUUGAAAUCUGGCAGCUCUCUGAACUGUCCGAGUUGUAAUCUAGAGAAGUGUUACCUGUGCUGGACCGUGUACAAGUCUCCUGGAAUGGAGCGUCACAGAGGGUGAGAAUCCCGUCUUUGACACGGACUGCCUGCAUGUUUAUGGCGCUCUCUCAAAGAGUCUAGUUGUUUGGGAAUGCAGCUCAAAAUGGGUGGUAAAUGCCAUCUAAAGCUAAAUAUUGGCGAGAGACCGAUAGCGAACAAGUACCGUGAGGGAAAGAUGAAAAGAACUUUGGAAAGAGAGUUAGACAGUACGUGCAAUUGCUGAAAAGGAAACGCUUGAAGUCAGUCACGUCGGCUAUAAACCAACCUUGCUUUUGCUUGGUGUACUUUCUCGUUGAUGCGUCAGCAUCGAUUUUGACCGAUGGAUAAAGUCGGUGGGAAUGUGGCAUCUUAGGAUGUGUUAUAUCCCAUUGUCGCAUACAGCGGUCGGGAUUGAGGAACUCAGCAUGCCCGCCAGCUACGGUUUUUGACCACAUAUCGAGCUUAGGAAGCUGGCAUAAUGGCUUUUAUCGACCCGUCUUGUAACACGGAAGGGGCGAGUUCUCGGCCGCUAAAAUUCAUUUCGCCUUAUAGUGGGCCGUAUAACAAUACACUGGGCGGCCGUUUUAAAACGACGUGAACGGCGAAAACCCCUGCGUUAACCAAACUUAAUCACCUUGCAGCCCCAUCCCCCUUUUCCCGCCCUGCCGGAAGUACCGAAGAAGCCCGCCCCGAUCGUCCCUUCCCCACAGUUUGUGCCGCCUAUACAUAAGGGGGUUUUUAUGGUUAUCACCUAUUAAAAAAAAAAAGCCGCUUUUCCCCCUGUUUUGUGGGAGGUACAAAAGGGAUAAUUAUUGAAACACCCCGCGGGGGCCGGAAGGGGGGACCCCCCCUGGGCCCGGGGCCCCCCCUUCCCGGGCAAAAAAAAGGCCCCCCCCGGGAACCCUUUUCCCCGGGGGGGGCCAAAACCGGGGGAGGAGAAAAAAUGGGGGCCAUUCAAGUGACCCCCACCAAAAAUAUCCCA
rnacentral:rRNA from 1 species